rnacentral:rRNA from 1 species
UACGGAGGGUGCAAGCGUUAUCCGGAUUCACUGGGUUUAAAGGGUGCGUAGGAGGGCAGGUAAGUCAGUGGUGAAAUCUCCAAGCUUAACUUGGAACUGCCGUUGAUACUAUCUGUCUUGAAUACCGUGGAGGUGAGCGGAAUAUGUCAUGUAGCGGAUGAAAUGCUUAGAUAUGACAUACGAACACCAAUUGCGAAGGCAGCUCGCUACACGAAUAUUGACUCUGAAGGCACGAAAAGCGUGGGGAUCAAACAGGA